CCUACGGGUGGCAGCAGUGAGGAAUAUUGGUCAAUGGACGAGAGUCUGAACCAGCCAAGUAGCGUGAAGGAUGACUGCCCUAUGGGUUGUAAACUUCUUUUAUAUGGGAAUAAAACGUUCCACGUGUGGGAUUUUGUAUGUACCAUAUGAAUAAGGAUCGGCUAACUCCGUGCCAGCAGCCGCGGUAAUACGGAGGAUCCGAGCGUUAUCCGGAUUUAUUGGGUUUAAAGGGAGCGUCGGUGGAUUGGUAAGUCAGUUGUGAAAGUUUGCGGCUCAACCGUAAAAUUGCAGUUGAAACUGGCAGUCUUGAGUACAGUAGAGGUGGGCGGAAUGCGUGGUGUAGCGGUGAAAUGCUUAGAUAUCACGAAGAACUCCGAUUGCGAAGGCAGUUCACUGGACUGCAACUGACACUGAGGCUCGAAAGUGUGGGUAUCAAACAGGAUUAGAUACCCUGGUAGUC
rnacentral:rRNA from 1 species